rnacentral:ncRNA from 1 species
CAAAAGCCUGGUCCUGACUUUAUUGUCCGCCUUAACCGAGUUUAUACAUGCAAGUAUCCGCACCCCUGUGAGAAUGCCCUCAAAGUCCCGCCCGGAGACGAGGAGCAGGCAUCAGGCGCACCACCUCCCGGUAGCCCAAAACGCCUUGCUUAGCCACACCCCCAAGGGAACUCAGCAGUAAUAAACAUUAAGCAAUAAGUGAAAACUUGACCUAACUACGGUUACUAGAUGGGCCGGUAAAUAACGUGCCAGCCACCGCGGUCAAACGAGUGUGCCCAAGUGGACAAUCUACGGCGUAAGCGUGGUUAGGGAAACCCCACAACUAAAGUAGAACUAGCUCCGGGCUGUGAUACGCACCCGACACUGUGAAACCUCACCACGAAAGUGACUUUAACAACACCUGAACCCACGAAAGCUGGGGAACAAACUGGGAUUAGAUACCCCACUAUGCCCAGCCGUAAACAUUAAUAGAAAUCAUUACAACUCCUAUUCGCCGGGGAACUACAAGCAUGAGCUUGAAACCCAAAGGACUUGGCGGUGCUUUAGACCCACCUAGAGGAGCCUGUCCUAGAACCGAUAACCCCCGUUCAACCUCACCACUUCUGGCUCCUUAUUCCGCCUGUAUACCUCCGUCGUCAGCUUACCCUGUGAAGGAAAAAUAGUAAGCAAAACCGGCACUGCCUAAAACGUCAGGUCGAGGUGCAGCGCACGAAGUGUGCAAGAGAUGGGCUACAUUUUCUGACUCAGAAAAUUACGAAAGAAGUAAUGAAAAAACUUCCAAAGGAGGAUUUAGCAGUAAUCAGGGAAUAGAGCGCCCUGCUGAAACUGGCCCUUAAGCGCGUACACACCGCCCGUCACUCUCCCCAAGUCUAACACAUAACUAACUUAUAGAACAAAAUGGACAAAGGGGAGGCAAGUCGUAACAUGGUAAGUGUACCGGAAGGUGCACUUGGAUAACA